CGGCGGACGGGUGAGUAACGCGUGGGUAACCUACCCUGUACACACGGAUAACAUACCGAAAGGUAUGCUAAUACGGGAUAAUAUAUUUGAGAGGCAUCUCUUGAAUAUCAAAGGUGAGCCAGUACAGGACGGACCCGCGUCUGAUUAGCUAGUUGGUAAGGUAACGGCUUACCAAGGCGACGAUCAGUAGCCGACCUGAGAGGGUGAUCGGCCACAUUGGAACUGAGACACGGUCCAA
rnacentral:rRNA from 1 species